rnacentral:rRNA from 1 species
AUUCCCCUAGUAGCGGCGAGCGAAGCGGGAAAAGCUCAAAUUUGUAAUCUGGCGCUUUCGGCGUCCGAGUUGUAAUCUCGAGAAGUGUUUUCCGCGUCAGACCGCACACAAGUCUCCUGGAACGGAGCGUCACAGUGGUGAGAACCCAGUACACGGUGCGGAUGCCUGAUGCUUUGUGAUACACUUUCGAAGAGUCGAGUUGUUUGGGAAUGCAGCUCAAAUUGGGUGGUAAAUUCCAUCUAAAGCUAAAUAUUGGCGAGAGACCGAUAGCGAACAAGUACCGUGAGGGAAAGAUGAAAAGCACUUUGGAAAGAGAGUUAACAGUACGUGAAAUUGUUGGAAGGGAAACGCUUGAAGUCAGACUUGCUAUUCGGAGCUUGCUUCGAUUCGCAGGCCCGCAUCAGUUUUCCGGGGCGGAAAAUCGUAAGGAGAAGGUAGCAGUUUCGGCUGUGUUAUAGCUCUUUACUGGAUUCGUCCUGGGGGACUGAGGAACGCAGCGUGCUUUUUGCAUGGGCUUCGGCCCAUCCACGCUUAGGAUGCGGGUGGAAUGGCUUUAAACGACCCGUCUUGAAACACG